UCUUCUUGAAACAUUUUUUUAUUUUAGGAUAAUAUCAUCUCCACUCCUAUAAUAAAGGGAACAAUCUUACCUAGUAUCACAAGAAAGAGUAUAAUUGAUGUUGCUCGAAGCCACGGGUUUCAGGUACUUGUGCUGUUUUGAAGAUUCUUGAUGAAUUCAUCCUAUCGAAAUAAAGUUGUGUAUAUGGGAAUGUGUAUAACUGGACCUGGAAAAUCUGGUUAUGUUACAAUUUAGUAUUUUUUUUCUGUAUCUUGUGAAUGCUGCGGUGCUAUGGUGUUUCUCGAUUAAUUUUUGUUUCUUAAAGAAUGAUUACUUGUCACUUCAAAUUACAUCUUAGUGGUAUGAAUAAUCUCACAGUGGUUAAUUGUCACUCAGACUACAUCUUAGUGAUAGAAAGAAUGUCUCUAAGUGGUCACUUGUCACCUCGAGUG